rnacentral:rRNA from 1 species
GGGGGAUAACUAUUGGAAACGAUAGCUAAUACCGCAUAAUAGUAGAUGUUGCAUGACAUUUGCUUAAAAGGUGCAAUUGCAUCACUACCAGAUGGACCUGCGUUGUAUUAGCUAGUUGGUGGGGUAACGGGCUCACCAAGGCGACGAUACAUAGCCGACCUGAGAGGGUGAUCGGCCACACUGGGACUGAGACACGGCCCAG